rnacentral:lncRNA from 1 species
GCAGGGGCGACACAGCUGGAGAAACUGAGGCCCCAGGGUCGCUGGGACGGGAGACGCCGGGUGCACGCAUACUCGGAGACGGAACGGCUACAAAACUAGGCCAGGAAGAGGGGAGUCGAAAAACAUCAGACCCCAGGGCACCGUUUCCGGGAGCAGGCAGGGAGGCGUCCAAGGCCACAUCCCCUCCGUCCUCACCUCCCGAAGACCUGAGAGACUCUGUGGUGAGUCUACAGCUCGUCCUAGCCCUCAAGAAGGCGGAUUUCCCUCCUGCCUCCAUAUUCCUCCCGUGUCCAGUGCAUAGUCCAAGGUGCCUCUCAAUCAGUGCGCUUGACUCAGCAUUCCCAAGUGCUGGGUAGGGACAGCGGGACUCACCCCACUUCACUCAAUGGAUGCCAAGGCCUCGGCCGCCUCACCUCUGCAAAGAAGGCCUUGAGCUGGUCCAGGUGCUGGAAGAGGCUGGGGGAGUUAGUGUCCAGACGGGCCAGGCGCUGGGCGGCUUCCUCUGCCAACAGCCGGGGUGGGUGUGGCUCCUGCAGACACGUGG